rnacentral:piRNA from 1 species
AAUGUGAGGAUGGUAUACAGU